ACGAACGCUGGCGGCAGGCCUAAAACAUGCAAGUCGAACGCUGUAGCAAUACAGAGUGGCGCACGGGUGAGGAACACGUGGGAAUAUGCCUUUUGGUACGGAAUAACUUUUGGAAACGAAAGCUAAUACCGUAUGGUCCCUUCGGGGUAAAGAUUUAUCGCCAAAAGAUUAGCCCGCGUCUGAUUAGCUAGUUGGUGAGGUAACGGCCCACCAAGGCGACGAUCAGUAGCUGGUCUGAGAGGACGAUCAGCCACACUGGGACUGAGACACGGCCCAGACUCCUACGGGAGGCAGCAGUUAGGAAUAUUGGACAAUGGGGGCAACCCUGAUCCAGCCAUGCCGCGUGAGUGAUGAAGGCCUUCGGGUUGUAAAGCUCUUUAGCCGACGAAUAUAAUGACUGUAGUCGGAGAAUAAGCCCCGGCUAACUUCGU
rnacentral:rRNA from 1 species